rnacentral:rRNA from 1 species
CGUGUAGGCGGUUGGUUAAGUCGGAUGUGAAAGCCUGGGGCUCAGCCCCAGAAGUGCAUCCGAAACUAUCCAGCUAAAGCGCGAUAGAGGAGGGUGGAAUUCCUGGUGUAGCGGUGAAAUGCGUAGAUAUCAGGAGGAACACCGGCGGCGAAGGCGGCCCUCUGGAUCGUUGCUGACGCUGAGACGCGAAAGCGUGGGGAGCAAACAGGAUUAGAUACCCUGGUAGUCCACGCCUUAAACGAUGGGUACUAGGUGUUCGGGGUGUUGACCCCCUGAGUGCCGCAGUUAACGCAUUAAGUACCCCGCCUGGGGACUACGGCCGCAAGGUUAAA